CACUGCACCACACCAUAGCUUUGUUUUAAUUGUCUCUUGCUCACUGGAAUAGAAGCUUCACAAGAGCAGAGAUACACUUUUUAUCUCUCACCUCUUAGACCUCAGCACAGUGCCUGCCACAGAGUGGGCCCUCAGUGGGUUCCAGAUUGUGGUGGGUUUUGACUGGUGGGCUCAGUAAUUGUAAGGAGUUGAAAGCAGAUUAACCACCUGAUAUCCUCCUGGCAGCCAUGGACUCCUGGAGAGAUGCCUUGGAGGGAACCUGCGAAAAGAUACCAGCAAGAAACAACUCGGAGUUUCAGAUUACUUCCAACCAGGACAGCCUACAAGAUAGCAGUACAAUCGGGAGAAUUGGGCAAUGUAAUUAUAGUAUGGAAAUGAUGUUGAUCACUCAAGCAGAGUGUAGACCUUGAAUCUAAAACCUUGCUCUGUCUUCUCACCCAUUUUCCAUGGCUCGCACUUGAAGCUGUAGCCACCACACCCAGGAAACCUGGAGCUAGGUUUCAACACCAAGGAUGACCCUGGAAGGUCACUUGUUGAAACUGGCAGAGCCAUCAGGAGCCUGGGUUCUUGAAUGAACCAGUGGAGCAGAGCCCUCCUUCCCUUCCCCAUCCUCUGGUGCCCUGAACCUGCAUUGCAUCGUCAGCUUUGUGCUGUGAGUUGUAAUGAAUUCUCAUUUGGUUGUUCCUAAAGUUGGCUUCCCCAUGUCUGGCCCCAAAUCAGGCCGAGUAAUCAGGAGCCAUCUUCAUUGUGGAUUUGAUUUGCAUUUUCCUGAUGAUCAGUGAUGGUAAGCAUGUUUUCCUAUAUCUGUCGGUCAUUUGUAUGUCUCCUUUGGAGAAAUGUCUAUUUACGUCCUUUGCCCAUUUUUUCAAUCAGGUUAUUUGUGGAUUUUUCUGCUAUUCAGUUGUAUGAGUCUCUUAGGAUAUUAAACUCUUACCAGAUAAUAUGGUUUGCAAAUGUUUUCUCCCA